GUUCUUAGUUCGUGGAGUGAUCUGUCUGCUUAAUUGCGUUUCACUAAGGGCCCAUAAAUUCAAGGUAUGUUAGCUAUCGUUUCUCAAUUGACCCCUUGUCUUCGAUAAGCGCGUGUCUUUUAGAGUUUAAACAUUGCGCAUGCUGUUGGGUCCUGAAAGCAACGAACGUGACCGCAACGUCUUAUUGCCUUUAUCUUGCUAUAUUUUAAUUUAAUUAAAAAUAGCUAACAGAGGCUAAUUUAAAAUUAGACGGACCGCUGUACUUUUCUUAAACCAGAGGAAGGUUGCGGCAAUAACAGGUCUGUGAUGCCCUUAGAUGUUCCGGGCUGCACACGUGCUACAAUGAUCAGUACAGUGAGCAUCUCAAUAUUAUACACCGUAUUAAGCGCUUGGUUGCGAUUAUUGGCUCAUUAUUGGGUCUUUUAAUUGUAUUUCCAAUGCGCGCGGUAAAGCCUGCUUCGAGAGUAAGUGGGUAAUCCAUUGGAAGUAAUGAUUUCUCUUUUUAUAGCACACCUAUAUACGGCAUUCAUUCCCGGGACGACUAGUUUCG
rnacentral:rRNA from 1 species